rnacentral:tRNA from 1 species
GGGGCAUCCAGCCAGGUGCAAGUGAUGCUGCGAUGCAGCAGCAGCUGCAAAAGAUGCAGCACAAGUGACCGCGUGGCCUAAUGGAUAAGGCGUCUGACUUCGGAUCAGAAGAUUGAGGGUUCGAGUCCCUUCGUGGUCGGCUGUUUUUCGUUUUUUUUUUUGGUAAACGCCCCCGCCCCCGCCCUUUGCGCUUGGUACAUCUUCCCCUUUGAGGGCAGGUUUCCCCACGGUUUCCCUUUUCAGGGAGCCCGAAGUGAUUAAAGGCUGUUUCCAAGUCUUUGUUGCUGCAAGAGAAAUAGUGUCGCCGUGCCCGGGGCUGGGGACGAGGCCGGCGCUCCGAGGGGGCACUGGGGAGGAGACGGCAGCAGGUAGGAAGCUCUGCGUGCAUGUGCAUGUGCAUGUGUGCUUUUUGUGUCCCCGCAGCAUGGUGCUCUCACACUGCUGCUGUUCAAAGGGACCCUGGAUUUGGGGCCGUUCUCCAUCAAUGCAGACACAUGUUUUAUGCAGCCCCAGUGGCCUAAUGGAUAAGGCACUGGCCUCCUAAGCCAGGGAUUGUGGGUUCGAGUCCCAUCUGGGGUGAGGGUGCCUUUUGUCCGUGCCCUUUCCUCCCUGCGCGUUUUCGUGCCACAAACAGCACUCCGAGGCGCGUCCGGACCUCACCGAGUUCAGCCAACGGGAAGGAAUUGCUAAUCCCUAAUGACAGAUCUUAAUUAAGGAGUCUAAUGCCAGGUGAGAGCCCAGAAACGCACCUUGAAGCCAGAAUAAAGCCAGGCUGCUGGAGAGACGGGAAGUUUGCAGAGGGCCAGGGUGGGGAAGAUGGGAGGAAGGAAAGCCAGGAGGAGCAACCACAAACCGCCCCCAAGCCCGGGGGCAAAGGAGAACAGGACGCCUUAGCUGCGGGCCAUGUAGUCGCUUACGCAAGGAUGUUGCUGGGUGUGGGAGGAAAGGACUCUCAUGCUGUGGCCACAGAGAUCGCCGCAGGCUGGUGCCGCCCGGGACCAGCUGGUUUCUGCCCCUCCGGCUACCAGGGAGGUGCUAGCUGCAGCCCGGUGGUUUAAGCUGCAGCCAGGCUGAAGGGGGAGGGUGGGAUUGUGUUUUUUUUGCAGAUUUUUUUUUUUUUUUGCAAGUUUUGCAAGAACUUUUGUUUCUUGGUAUUCCUCAUAAGUCUGGGCGACUCUUGGGGUGUUUUUUCAGAGGGUCUGGUCUCUUGGCUUCCCCUGUGCAGCAGGCAUUUCAGGUCUCCUGAACACCUCGCUGAGGCUGGAGGCCGAGGAUGGGUGCUGUGGCCAGCACCUCGCUCUCCUGGCUGUGUCCAUGGGCCCAACAUUAAAACAAGCCACCCAACCACGAAGGGACUCGAACCCUCAAUCUUCUGAUCCGAAGUCAGACGCCUUAUCCAUUAGGCCACGUGGUCACCCCUGCACUGCUGACWCAGCACCCUGCCGGCCACCACCCUCACCCUGUUAAUUAAACACAAUUAAUCUCCUUAAUUUAAAUCCCUGAGAUUUUCGCUGGUGCCGAGGAGCAAGGCCAGCAGGUGCAGGACAACUUCAUGUGCCCACGGGGCCUGAGAGCUGCUUUCGGGCCCCGGCUUCUCCUCACCCCUCCCCUGCGCAGUUUUCGUUCGGCAAAGGUGUCGUCGCCGUUGGGCCGGACGCCACGAAGGAGGACGUUCCUGAGACAACGUAGCUGCCAAACGCUAGGGAAGGAUGCGAUGGGUGCGGCUGAGGUGAAGGUAACCCAGGAACCAACGUGUCCCCCAACACCUCUGGCGGCUGAGGAAGAAAUUAAAAUCCUGGUGCUGGCUUUGGGGAAAUGCUUUGUUUUUUAAGGUUGGCUGAGCUGCCCGGAUUUUGGGGAGCAGCCAUGAGGAUGGUGUAAGGGGCGCUACGGAGAGAAGCGGG